GCCGCGGGUCAAGCCCCGGGGGGCUGGCCCUCCCCUGUAGCCGCAAAUCGGGCCAUACGGUGGGGGGCGUUAACCCCCUACCCAGGCCCUCCUCCUCGCCGAGGAGGGGUGGCCUCUGUGGAAAUGAUCCUCGGUCCCAUGGGGUCGCUGGCGGGUGGCGGUGUCUCUCGGAGGAGAGGCAUGCCACCCUUGCCACGCCGCACCGGGUCAGGCCCUGGCGGGAGCAGCCUAAGGCGUGGACAGCGACGUUCAUGGGGUGCCGGGGCCGAUCCACAAGCCGCUCUAAGCCUCGGUGAGCGGGGGUCGAGGUAGGGGGGAUGCCGCGGC
rnacentral:SRP_RNA from 1 species